rnacentral:rRNA from 1 species
CGCCUCUUGAACUAAAUAAGAGGUCCAGCCUGCCCAGUGAAAUUAUUCAACGGCCGCGGUAUCCUAACCGUGCGAAGGUAGCGUAAUCACUUGUUCUUUAAAUGAGGACUAGUAUGAAUGGCACCACGAGGGUUCUACUGUCUCCUUUUUAAAAUCAGUGAAACUAAUCUUCCCGUGAAGAAGCGGGAAUUUUUUUAUAAGACGAGAAGACCCUAUGGAGCUUUAAACAAAUGACAUUUGCUUAAUCUAAUAUUUUAUUUUUAAGAAAUAUAGCAUUAUGAUUAUUAGUUUUCGAUUGGGGUGAUCACGGAGAAAAAUCUAACCUCCACGCCGAAAGGGUUUGUUCCCUAAGCAAAAAGCUACAGCUUUAAGCACUAAAAAAUUAACGUAAUUUGACCCAAUAUUUUGAUCAACGAACCAAGUUACCCUAGGGAUAACAGCGCAAUCCACUUCAAGAGCUCCUAUCGACAAGUGGGUUUACGACCUCGAUGUUGGAUCAGGGUAUCCUAGUGGUGCAGCCGCUACUAAUGGUUCGUUUGUUCAACGAUUAAAACCCU